UACAGAGGGGGCAAGCGUUAUUCGGAAUUAUUGGGCGUAAAGGGCGCGUAGGCGGCUUGGCAAGUGGAUGGUGAAAUCCCUCGGCUUAACCGAGGAACUGCCGUCCAAACUGCUUUGCUUGAGACCGGGAGAGGUGAGUGGAAUUCCCAGUGUAGCGGUGAAAUGCGUAGAUAUUGGGAGGAACACCAGUGGCGAAGGCGGCUCACUGGACCGGUACUGACGCUGAUGCGCGAAAGCGUGGGGAGUGAACAGG
rnacentral:rRNA from 1 species